rnacentral:tRNA from 1 species
UGCAGGUGUAGCAAAAUGGUUAUGCGGCUGACUCUUAAUCAGUAAGACGAUGGGUUCAAUUCCCUCCACCUGUACCAA